GUUACCUUUGUACCAAAUCGUAUAGGAAUGGUGCGCAAAUCCUAUUUUGUAUAUUAACUGUUCUUUUCGAUUGCUUACUAUCAUAAUCAUAAUUGUCUCAUUAACAUGAUACUCUUAUUGAACUGUCAACCUUAUGCUCCAAUCAAGUCGAAAGGAAACUUGCUGUGAACUUUCAUGAUUUAUUCAUCAAUAAAAUUCGCGAUGAAAUCAUGAUAAAUCUUAUUUUCUGUCACCUAGUUUUGCUUAGUAUUUAGUUUAAUCAAUCCAGCAGUUAAAUUUAUAAUUUACUUGAGCCAAUUUUGAUAAAUCGAUUAAUUUAUUUCAAAAUUAACGAUAUUCAAAGGGAUCAGCUGGUUCUCAGCCGAUAAAUAACCGUUGGGUAUCAAUAUUGAUCAUUUGUUUUUAUUUGUGUUAAUUCAUAGAUGUUUAAUUGUUGUAAUUGUAUCCUUUUUUCUUUGAUGUUAUUACACUUCUAAUUGUUAUUUUUCUUUUAAAAUUCUGUUUUGAAUCAGGAUUCGUAAUAACACCAAUCGGACAUUUGAAUUGAUUGACUAAUUUUUUGUGUUCCUUUUCCGAGGCGAUUGAUUAUUGUUUCUAUAUGAUGGAAGCGAGAGGAUUCAAUCAAUAAACAUUAUGAUGACGAUGAGGAUGAUUAUUAUGAUGAGGAUGCAAAUUAUAUUUUAAUGGAGCCAAGCUGAGAGUCUGAAUAUUACUUUUGCUUUGGUGGGAUUAAUUCCAGAUGAGAGAUGGCAAGAAAAGAGCAACAAAGAUGAGAAUAGAUGGUGAUGAGGAUGAGAAAGCAAGAGGAAGAAAAAAGGAUAAUCGAAGCCAAUCAUUUGCGUGUUAAAGUUGAACCUUUAUCGCUAUAAUAUUGUAAAACUGACUGGUUAACAUGGUUUUUUAUACUUGAGACAAUUUUACCUUAUUUUGCUCUUGUUUCUGGAGCUUUUUUAACCUUCAAAAUGAGAGUAACCUAAUGCAAUUGAACAAAGGACCCAUCAUUGAGACUCCUAUUUUUGUUAUUUUCAUUGUUGUUGUUUAUAAUGAUAAAAAUAACAAUAUUAGGAAGAUGAUGAUGAUUUGAUGUGAAAAAAUGUAUGUGAAAAGGAUCAUCUGUUUAAAGCAAUGCUACAAAGGUUUUAGUAUUAAUACUAGGAAACAAAUUUAAAAGGAAUGGUCCUAUCAUCAAAUACAAUGUUAUAAUUGUUAAUUAACAUAAUAGAUUGAUCCUUUGUCAAUUA